UACGUAGGGCGCAAGCGUUGUCCGGAAUUAUUGGGCGUAAAGAGCUCGUAGGCGGUCUGUCGCGUCUGCUGUGAAAACUCAGGGCUUAACCCUGAGCUUGCAGUGGGUACGGGCAGACUAGAGUGCGGUAGGGGAGACUGGAAUUCCUGGUGUAGCGGUGAAAUGCGCAGAUAUCAGGAGGAACACCAAUGGCGAAGGCAGAUCUCUGGGCCGUAACUGACGCUGAGGAGCGAAAGCAUGGGGAGCGAACAGG
rnacentral:rRNA from 1 species